ensembl:lncRNA
CCACGGAAAGCACAGCCCCAGCUCAGGGAGAGCAGGCAGCUCACAUCCCUCUGGAGGGGACCACGGGGGCCCACACCACCCAAGACAGACCCCGUCCUCUCCCACAGCUGCCAGUGCCAAGAGUACGUCUCUGCAGAGGAGCUCUGUGACGCCCAGUGUCUGGCCAGGGCCGCCCAGCUCUCCUUGGCCUGGGGGCCCAGCAGGAAGCUGAUCCUCAGCAUGAAGGACGAGGCAGGCAGCAUCCAGAGGGAGCUAACAAGCACACUGGGUCCAGACCCGUCCUUCCAGGGCAGUGCCAGGGUCCAUCUUGUCCUGUGCAGCCCCCGCGGCCUCCUUGGCUUGGUCAUCUCCAGUGGGGACACACUUGAUGCCUUCCUCCUCGGUCCACUUGUGUCCAGCCCAAGGCAGCAGAGGCAACCUUGGACCCCAGGCCCGGGGCACCGUGCCCCCCAGGAUCCCAGCAUCCACCCCCACAUUCCAAACCCAGUGGUCUGCCUGGCUGCGGGGGACAUGGUUCUUUUCCAG